rnacentral:tRNA from 1 species
UAAAGAGAAUUCUAGUUUUGGGGGCUAGAGGUGGGUUCCCCCCCUCUCUUGAAA